UACGGGGGGGGGCAAGCGUUGUUCGGAAUUACUGGGCGUAAAGGGCUCGUAGGCGGCCAACUAAGUCAGACGUGAAAUCCCUAGGCUCAACCUAGGAACUGCGUCUGAUACUGGAUGGCUUGAAUCCGGGAGAGGGAUGCAGAAUUCCAGGUGUAGCGGUGAAAUGCGUAGAUAUCUGGAGGAACACCGGUGGCGAAGGCGGCAUCCUGGACCAAUAUUGACGCUGAGGAGCGAAAGCUAGGGGAGCAAACGGG
rnacentral:rRNA from 1 species